CACUGUCUUAUUGAACGCGAGGUUUCUCACAAGAGCUACGUGAGAGAAAAGAAACCACCAGAAAAAGGGCGGAAAGAUUUGAGAGCCGAGAUGUUUGGAGAGUUUGGAGGACCUUGGAGCAUUGAUUUCUCGAAUUAAACCAAAAAAUUUUGUUAGGAAUGGAGGAGGAGCACAAGGAAUCAGUGACGGGACCAGAUGGAGUUGUGCAAGAAUGGCUGUGGAUCUUGAUUCUUAUUGUUCAUCAAAUUUGACAUUUUGUGAUUUAUUUUUUUGGAAUCAAUCAGUCAUUUCUUUUGGUAGUUUGGAGUCUUGACUGAAAGUUGAAAACACCUGUCAGGAUUCCUGGAUGGCAAGAUUUCCUGGAUAACUAUGCAAGUUUUUUGGUAUGGGCCGUAUGGCAGGUCUAAAAGAGUUAUCAACUCCAUUAGGUUAUUAGAUGUUUUUAUUUUAUUUAUAUAUCAUGGAUGAUGUGUGGCAGCACUGCUCCUAGAUAUGUGCCACAGCUUUCUAAUAUAUUUUCCUUUAUUAGUUCUCUAGCUUUUUUUCAGCAUUUUUUUCCUUUCUGUGCUCGUCCAAAGAACUUUUUGCUGGAUCAUAUUCACUCCAUUCUUGGCCUCGAGUUGCUCUGGAUUUGUUUCAUCGUAUUAUAUCAAUUAAAGCUGAGGGAAACAUUACAAAAACCUGAAUUGUGGUCUGAGCAUAGUUUACCUUUUCAUUCUUUUUUUAAGUGCUACUUUUGUUUGCAUGCUUAUAUGAUUAUCAGUAAUUUGCCCACAUAUCAUUAGUGUGUUUGUGAGAUCUCAUUAGAUAAGUAUACAACGGUGCACACGCUUUGAAAUACAUUUUGAAUACUUUGAUACAUUUAGCUUUUUCACUCAUUUUGACAAACAUACUGCUCUUGAGUUGGGAGGUUUCUUUUCUUUAACUUGAUUUAUCGGGAUGGAGGGGAGGAGCAGGAGUUGAUAGAGGAGAAAUAUUGUACAUUUGAUUUUCUAACUGAGCUUGAAGGAAAAAAUUCAUGCUCAGAUUAUGAACUUAAAACCUUUCCACAGGCUCAAUUCAUUUCAUCCCAAUUUAAUUGUCACUUUAUUUAUCACACUAGAUAUUAAUUGUUUUUACAUUUUUGUUCAUUUGAGAAUCGAAGAAUGCAAUUUUUGGAAUUACUUCUUAUCAUGUAAUUGUUCUCAUCAAGUUUGUUUGCCAGUCAAUUCAUUUGCAUUGUGAGCCAAAUGAUAUUUGGACUGACUAACAUUAGUUUGGGCAUCUACACUGUUCUUUCUAAUUAUUGAAUGUUAUACAGGUUUUUGUCAUGAGUCAAAAUGUUAUUGGUUAAUACCAAUAAACUUCAAAACAACUCACAUCACCAUGUUGUGCAACAUCAAAUUCACCAAAAUACAGAGAUCAUUGAUAAGUACAUAGAGACCACAGGAAGUAAAUCAGUCAAGCCAAAGCAAUAAGAGAUAUGCACUGGCAACCAUUGGGAUCAUCUGACAAUUGUAUGCUGUAAUGAAGAUAAGGACAAAGCCACCAAAGACUGUUUACUUGCAUGGGUACCAGUAGAGUGGGCAUAGCGCUUUCAGUCCUCUUGGAGCGUGAGUGUUCAUAAGCAACAAAAGAAAGCUGCAGAAGAGCAGCUGCUUUAAGGGGCACUGUGGUAUCUCAAUCAUCUUGGCUACUCACCAUAAAGCCCCUUGGCAUCAAUUGCAAAACUUGGUUACAGAAACAAAAGCUAGUCAUUAGUUGAAAUUAUUCAGUCAACUCGUCAGAAAGAAGCUUGUUAUUAGAGGAAAUUAUUCAGUCAACUCUUCAGAAAGAAGCUCAGUUAAUAGGCUACGAUGAAAAAUGCUUGAUGAUUGACUGCAGUGGUGGAGAGAAUUUAGUCAUUCCCAUUGUGAGCAGCCAAAGCUGUCCUGGAGUUCUUCAGGAAUCUUCUGCCCAUACCAAUAAACUUCAAAACAACUCACAUGAUUUAGUUAUAUAAUAUCAGGCUCUCCAAAAUAAAGAGAUCAAGCCACACUGUGUUUUGGUGAAUCUGUUGUUGUACAAAUGAGAUCAUGUGAGUUGUUUUGAAUUUUAUCGGUAUGAGCAGAAGACCGUCCUGAAGACCUCCGUGUCUCGGUAUUUUACUGACUGAUGUUCUUUUCUGUAACCUUUUAAAAAAAAGAGAUUUUGAGAUCAUAAGUAAAUUUUUCAGGGACUUGAUAA